GCGUCCGCGGCGGGGGGGCGUCCCUGAAAUGCUGUGUGUGCGUGCGUCCGCCCUCUCCAGGCUGUUCGAUCCUACGUUGCCCAACUUAACUUGUUCACCCGUUCAUCCAAGUCUCAUUAACAGCGCCAAGUGCGUGGCAGACUUUCGAGUGGGGAGCAGCGGCCUCCUCAGCCAGAAUGGCGGAAGUGGAAAAGACAGACCGUGUAGAUGAGGUAGCAGAACACCUCGACAUUCCUUCAGUCAGGGAGUGUCAUUGGUAGAGAUACUUUGGAAAACUGGCAGUUCUCCAGGGAAGCUAAACUUAUGCCAACCCGGUCUCCCAGCAAUUCCAGUCCCAAGCUGUCAACGCCCAACCGAAGAAAUGGGUGCUGUCUAGUUUUUUGUCUACUCGACAUAAGCUAGGGCCAUCUGGGAUGAAGGGACCUUGAUUGAGAAAAUGCCUCCAUCGUGUUGCCCCAUAGUUCCUUCCUCCAGGUUCCUGCUUUUGAGUUCCUGCCGUGACUUCCGUUCACGAUGGACUGUAACAGUUAACUGAAAUAAACUCUUGCCUCCCUAAA